rnacentral:tRNA from 1 species
GGCGUUUUGGCCGAGCGGUUAAGGCGGUGAGUCACUGCAAUUGAGGUGUUCUCUUCGGAGGCACAGGUUCGAAUCCUGUAGACGUCG